rnacentral:rRNA from 1 species
UGGCUUAGGACGAACGCUGGCGGCGUGCCUAAUACAUGCAAGUCGAACGGUCUUUCUAUGGAAGCUUGCUUCCACUGAGAAGAUAGUGGCGAACGGGUGAGUAACACGUGGGGUAACCUGCCCAUAAGAGGGGGAUAACAUCCGGAAACGGGUGCUAAUACCGCAUAGUUUUCUUGAUCGCAUGAUUGAGAAAGGAAAGACGGCCUUUGUGCUGUCGCUUAUGGAUGGACCCGCGGCGUAUUAGUUAGUUGGUGAGGUAACGGCUUACCAAGACGAUGAUACGUAGCCGACCUGAGAGGGUGAUCGGCCACAUUGGGACUGAGACACGGCCCAAACUCCUACGGGAGGCAGCAGUAGGGAAUCUUCCGCAAUGGACGAAAGUCUGACGGAGCAACGCCGCGUGAGUGAAGAAAGGUUUUCGGAUCGUAAAACUCUGUUGUCAGAGAAGAACAAGUUGGAGAGUAACUGCUCCAGCCUUGACGGUAUCUGACCAGAAAGCCACGGCUAACUACGUGCCAGCCGCCGC